rnacentral:rRNA from 1 species
CGUGGAGACAGGUGGUGCAUGGCUGUCGUCAGCUCGUGUCGUGAGAUGUUGGGUUAAGUCCCGCAACGAGCGCAACCCUCACCCCUAGUUGCCACCGGGUAAAGCCGAGCACUCGAGGGGAACUGCCAGCGUCAAGCUGGAGGAAGGCGGGGAUGACGUCAAGUCAUCAUGCCCCUUACGUCCUGGGCUACACACGUGCUACAAUGGCUAGUACAGAGGGAUGCGAGACCGCGAGGUGGAGCUAAUCCCAAAAAGCUGGUCUAAGUUCAGAUUGCAGUCUGCAACUCGACUGCAUGAAGUAGGAAUCGCUAGUAAUCGCGCAUCAGCACGGCGCGGUGAAUACGUUCCCGGGCCUUGUACACACCGCCCGUCACACCACGAAAGCUGGCUGUACUCGAAGUCGCUGAG